rnacentral:lncRNA from 1 species
UUACAUUGCUAGUUUAUAGAAAUACAAUUAAUUUUCAUACAUUUAUUUUGUAUCUUAUGACAGUUGAACUCACUUGUUAGUUCUUAAGAACACUAUUGUAUGUUUUCGGGGUUACUACAUAGGCAAUAUUGGCAUCUGCAAAUUUGGAAAGGUUUACAUUCCUUCUUUUCCAAAUAGAACACAUUUAAUUUUAUUUUCAUGUCUUAAUUCACUGAAUAGGUAUACCAGUAUUAUGUGGUUAAAAGCUUUGAAUAGGCCUCCUAUUUUUCAAAUGUCUUGUUCAUUGUUUAGGUCAUGAAUAAUUGAUCCAGAGCAUAUAAAUAAUUUGGCUUUGAAGAAUACAUGGAUGCAGAUAUGGUAUGGACCUGAAAUGUUCCCCACAAAAUAAUGUAUUGCAGAUUGGGUCCCCAAUGCAGCGAUGUCCCAAGGUGUUUCUGAGGUGGGAAUAUGGAGAAGAAAUUGCAUCAUGAAGAGACUUCAUUACUGGAAUCAUCUAUUUCACGAAUUAAUAGUUCAAAUGGACUAAAGGAAAGUGGUGGAAACUGUAGGAAGAAGGACACUUUAAAUUGCUUUCUUUCUAGAUCAAAUAUGUAGUUAUUGUUGAAAUCCUCUCAAUUGUAUCAAGAUUGUUUGUCUCUUUAUUUACAUUUGAUUUUAGUCCUAAUAAAUCUUGUAUUUUGCACAUGCGCACAUGACAAACACACAUUUAAACUCAUCAAUCAUUAUUAAGGAACUCCAGUGCUUAAUUUUUCUUAUUCUUUGGACUGACACAUAUGAAAAUUGUAACUAACUCAAAAUGUGAAAUUUUUUUCAUAUUAGUCACCAACAUACCUGUUGGUGACUACUAAGUGCUAACUUCACAAAUUCAUUGUGAUCAAGAAAUUAAAAUAUUAUUAAUAUAUUCAAAGAUUUUAUUAAUGCAUUAUUAGUUCUAUUAUUGUUAUUAGUUAUUUUAUCAGCAUUACAUGGUGAGGACACUAGAAAUACCAGUUAAUAUCACUACAGCAAGCUGCAUUUAUCUUACCAGCAAUAUAAAUUCUGGGAUGAAUAGAACUGGCUAGAGCUGAAAUCAUUGUUUGCAUAGUUUUCAAAUAUGUACUCCUCUGUCAAAAUGCCUUGUUGUUUAGCUGUUGGUUUCCCCCUUUGGAUUUGGCAUAGGGAAGAUUUUGAUGAAUGUUACAGAGCAUACCUUAGCAAAUAAGUUGGAAAUAAAACAAUGAAUUUGAGUGGCGCUAGGGACAAAGUAGAAAAUAUUUCUGAGAUAACGAAUGGCAGUUUGAUCUUGAGAAGCUAAGAAACAGGCUUUAAAUAAUAAGAAGGUCCUGGGUCUUUACAUCAGGGACACAGCAUCAACAAAAGAAGUUUCUUUCUUGCUUCCUUUCAUAUUUUUUGUUUUGCAUAGACAUAAAAGGAUAUCUUUUCACCUUAAACUUCUAGGAUUAUAUAACUAAAAUCAUAUUUCUUUAAAAUUAGAUUUUCUGGGGGCUGGAGAUAUAGGUCAAUGGUAAAGCAUUUGACUAGCAUGCAUGAGAUCUUGCAUUCAAUCCCCAGUACCAACAAAAUUUUUAAAAUAUACUUGAUUUAUCUAAAAGAUUAAAAAAUAAAAUUAGGUUUCUGAAACUUGUUAUUUUUAAAAAUUCAUAACAUUGCUAUUAAUAAAUUUAAGAUUUGAAAACUGUCUUUUAUACUUGUGUCCACCCCCCUCCUGGGAUACCUUUUUCAGGUAGCUAGAUUACAUUAAAUUAAAUAACAUUAAGUUCUCAUAAUUUCAUGAACUAUUAGAAUUCUCCUCAUCGUUUAUCAUUGCGUAAUUAUUCAUUUUUGAAAUUAGAUAAAAAAUAAGGUUUAGCCGGCACAAUUGAAUCACCCUUUCUUUUUCUUAAAGAUUCUCUUUAACACAUUUUAUUUAUAAGUUUCCUAAAUAAGAUUUAAUGUUCAUUUAUGCUUUGCCCCAUAGCUUUAAUGCAAGCUGCUGCUAAAUGAAAAAAAAGAAUGCUUUUUAUCAAAAUCCAUAUUGAACAACACCUAAAUAAAU